rnacentral:rRNA from 1 species
UACGGAGGAUCCGAGCGUUAUCCGGAUUUAUUGGGUUUAAAGGGUGCGUAGGCGGACUGAUAAGUCAGUGGUGAAAUGCUGCAGCUUAACUGUAGAAUUGCCGUUGAUACUGUCAGUCUUGAGUACAGUUGAGGUAGGCGGAAUGUGGUGUGUAGCGGUGAAAUGCAUAGAUAUACCACAGAACACCGAUUGCGAAGGCAGCUUACUAAAGUGUCACUGACGCUGAUGCACGAAAGCGUGGGUAU